GUUUACUCCUGGAGUAUAUAAUCAGUUUGCAAAUUAUAGAGAAAUGCUUAAAUAAUGCAUUACACUUUAACUAAACCCCUUAGAUUUUAGUCAACUAAAAUCUACUGGAGAUUCAGUCGACUAAAACUAGACUAAAACUAAAACAAUUCUGAUGACUAAAAUAUGACUAAAACUAAAAUUGCAUUUUAGUCAAAAGACUAAAACUGAGACUAAAUCAAAAUUUGUUGUCAAAAUUAACACUGGAUUACAGCAAGGAAUGGCAAAUACUUGGAUUAGUUACUAGUUGUGUGCCGUGGGGACAGAUGAGAGAGUAGGUUUAUAUUUAUGUGAUGCCAUUUGUGAGAAAAGGACAAAUUCUGUAGAUGGUAUAUAGCUAAGAGAAGCAGGAUUUGAGGGGGAGAGCAGAACCAAUGAAUGAAUUAAUGUAUAAAAUUUUUUUACACUGUAGAGCUGUCCUGUGCUUGCUCACAUUGCUGUCAGUCCCAAUGAGGAGUCAGCUUCUUCACCAGUCCACUGGAUUCAGCGCACAAAAUCUCGCAGACCAAAGCAAAAUUAGAAUAUUCCUUAAAACUGCAGGAGGGUGGAGAAGUACAUUCUACUGGACUAUGCAGUCAGACAUGCAGCUGGUAAGAGUGCAUUGAAUUCAAAGCUUCUGCAGGAACACCUUUUAAAUGGACUGGCCUCUCUCUUCCACUGGGAGGUUGAUUUCUGCUGCUGUCUCUCAUUUACAUAGUUUUCAUAGAAUACAUUUUACUUCCUGUAGUGUAUUGAGAUGUUUACAAGUUGCUUCUUAGCUAUUAGAUGGGAGGGAAUUCUACAGUACAAUGUCCUUUUAAUCUUUGUUCUAUUAAAGGAAGAUGUAACCUAAAAUAAAACUUCUAUUAUUACAU